rnacentral:tRNA from 1 species
GGUGGUGUAGCUCAGUGGUAGAACACGUGCUUAGCAUGCACAAGGUCCUGGGUUCAAUCCCCAGUACCUCCA